UAGCUUAUUGGCCUAAAAACAGAUGCAAGAGAAUGAGGGAAUUUUUCAAGGCUGGCUGGGGGCCCCAACUCAGCAUGCUCCAAGUCUACUGGAGGUACCAAGCAGAACCGAGCAGUGACUGGAGGGCAUUAGAGGAGCAAUCAUAGCAGAAAACCAGGGGAGAAGAGGACUGGAUACAGGUUUGAAAAAAUGUCAACAGACCUGAUACAAGAUCUACCACAGGUGUGGCAAGAUCUAGUCCUAAAAGAACAAUCCAUCUCCUGUUGGAAAGGAUGGCAAGCUUCCCAUCAUCAUUAUUUUUUCCUGGAUUGGAUCCUGAACUGUCUCUAAAUGACAAAGAGUGGUUGCAACUACUAGCUGGAGAAAACACGUUACAAGUAAAAGUGCCUGCUGGAGUCCAGAGUGUCUGGUUUUGCACUGCUGUGCUCUGUUGGCAAAAGGAAUAUGGAUCUUUGGAAGAAAAACUUGUUCUCCAUCUUCAAAGCAAAAUGAUGAGUGAUCAACAGUAUUUUGGGGAAUGGAAUUAUUUUGGGCAACAUAAUUUAAGCAAAUUGCAUCCUUAAAUCUUUAAUUUCUUUCUUCCUACAAGGAAGAACACUGCUGAAAUAAGCAGGUAGAGAGGCUGUCCAGGAAAAGUGAGAAAGAAUGUGCAAAAAAUAACUAGACCCAGAUGAAUCCAUUGUGCCCUGUUGUGAGACACACCGUAAGAAAAGCACAAAGAAACAGAAAGAAAAAAAAAUCUUCUUUAUUGAAGCAGAGUGUUUUCUGUGAAUACUUCAAGGAGUGCAAAAGCUUUGAUGAAUAGUGAAAGACAAAAUAUCACCUUCAAAUCCCAGGAAGGAACAAUACCUUUGUUUUAUAUAAAGCCAAUUGUAAGCCCGGUUGGUUAUGUUUAUCUCCAUUCUGUCUUAGCAUUAAAGUCUCACCUGUUGCCACAGUGACCUUGAUGUCUGUCACUAAGUCUGACUUGAAAAAUACACAAAAAGAUCUAUGAUAUACAUGAGGAAACCAGGAUAAUUCACAUGUAGCUACCUCUAAUUUCUUCCCUUUUCUACUAUGGAAAUGCAAUCAUGUAGCUGUGAAAUUUAGUAGUUCAGCUUCCUCAGGCAAUCCUGCUAAUGUUGUCAGGAAGAACUGUCCUCACCUAGCUGCAGAACACAUUUCUGAAGUCUAUCUACAGCAGUUCUUCACUGGUUUUCAGCAUCACCACAUCUCCUCUGGAUCUCAUUACACUGUUCAGAUCAGGUUUUCCCAAUUGAAAAAUGCUUUAGAAUCAAAAGCAAUAUUUUUCACAGCAACUUUCCACGUUAGAUGAGAUUUGGGAUCUUGACUAGUAUAUUGGUUUGUUUGCUGGUUUCACAGGUUUGUAAAUAUUUUUCUUCCUGCCAAUUUUAAGCUCCCUCUUUCACCUCUCUAAGUUCCUCUUUUGAAAGACUUCUGAGGUUUGAAACUGAUACCAGGUAUUUUGCCUCUGUUUUUUUCCUGAAAGGAAAUAAAGGCUCAGUGAAAUAAAA